rnacentral:rRNA from 1 species
UACGAAGGGGGCGAGCGUUGUUCGGAAUCACUGGGCGUAAAGGGCGCGUAGGCGGCCCUCUUUGUCGCGUGUGAAAGCCCCGGGCUCAACCUGGGAACGGCGCGCGAAACGGGAGGGCUGGAGUUCGGGAGAGGAGAGUGGAAUUCCCAGUGUAGAGGUGAAAUGCGCAGAUAUCAGGAGGAACACCAAUUGCGAAGGCAGCUCGCUGGAACGUAACUGACGCUGAGACGCGAAAGCGUGGGGAGCAAACAGG